rnacentral:rRNA from 1 species
AUUGAACGCUGGCGGCAGGCCUAACACAUGCAAGUCGAACGGUAACAGGAAACAGCUUGCUGUUUCGCUGACGAGUGGCGGACGGGUGAGUAAUGUCUGGGAAACUGCCUGAUGGAGGGGGAUAACUACUGGAAACGGUAGCUAAUACCGCAUAACGUCGCAAGACCAAAGAGGGGGACCUUCGGGCCGCUUGCCAUCGGAUGUGCCCAGAUGGGAUUAGCUAGUAGGUGGGGUAACGGCUCACCUAGGCGACGAUCCCUAGCUGGUCUGAGAGGAUGACCAGCCACACUGGAACUGAGACACGGUCCAGACUCCUACGGGAGGCAGCAGUGGGGAAUAUUGCACAAUGGGCGCAAGCCUGAUGCAGCCAUGCCGCGUGUAUGAAGAAGGCCUUCGGGUUGUAAAGUACUUUCAGCGGGGAUGAAGGGAGUAAAGUUAAUACCUUUGCUCAUUGACGUUACCCGCAGAAGAAGCACCGGCUAACUCCGUG